UACGUAGGGUGCGAGCGUUAAUCGGAAUUACUGGGCGUAAAGCGUGCGCAGGCGGUUUUGUAAGCCAGAUGUGAAAGCCCCGGGCUUAACCUGGGAAUGGCAUUUGGGACUGCAAGGCUUGAGUGCGGCAGAGGGGGAUGGAAUUCCGCGUGUAGCAGUGAAAUGCGUAGAUAUGCGGAGGAACACCGAUGGCGAAGGCAAUCCCCUGGGCCUGCACUGACGCUCAUGCACGAAAGCGUGGGGGGCAAACAGG
rnacentral:rRNA from 1 species